rnacentral:rRNA from 1 species
UACGAAGGAUGCAAGCGUUAUCCGGAUUUAUUGGGUUUAAAGGGUGCGUAGGCGGACUUAUAAGUCAGUGGUGAAAUCUCGUUGCUUAACAACGAACGUGCCAUUGAUACUGUAGGUCUUGAGUACAGAUGCCGUUGGCGGAAUGUGUCAUGUAGCGGUGAAAUGCAUAGAUAUGACACAGAACACCGAUUGCGAAGGCAGCUGACGAAACUGUAACUGACGCUGAGGUACGAAAGCGUGGGGAUCAAACAGG